AGGACGAACGCUGGCGGCGUGCUUAACACAUGCAAGUCGAACGGGGAUAUUCUUGGAAGGUUCGGCUGAAGGGAAUAUUCGAGUGGCGGACGGGUGAGUAACGCGUGAACAAUCUGUCACAGACAGGGGGAUAACACUUGGAAACAGGUGCUAAUACCGCAUAAGACCACAGCAUCACAUGGUGCAGGGGUAAAAGGAGCGAUCCGGUUUGGGGUGAGUUCGCGUCCGAUUAGCCAGUUGGCGGGGUAACGGCCCACCAAAGCGACGAUCGGUAGCCGAUCUGAGAGGAUGACCGGCCACAUUGGAACUGAGAGACGGUCCAAACUCCUACGGGAGGCAGCAGUGGGGAAUAUUGGGCAAUGGGGCCGAAAGCCUGACCCAGCAACGCCGCGUGAGUGAAGAAGGCUUUCGGGUUGUAAAGCUCUGUUAUAGGGGACGAAGGAAGUGACGGUACCCUAUAAGGAAGCCCCGGCUAACUACGUGCCAGCCGCGGC
rnacentral:rRNA from 1 species